AUUGAACGCUGGCGGCAGGCCUAACACAUGCAAGUCGAGCGAGCGGCGGACGGGUGAGUAAUGUAUGGGGACUGCCCGAUAGAGGGGGAUAACUACUGGAAACGGUGUCUAAUACCGCAUACUAUCGGAUAACCCAUAUGGGUUUAGCUAGUGGGUGGGGGAAAGGCUCACAUAGGCGACGAUCUCUAGCUGGUCUGAGAGGAUGAGCAGCAACACUGGUACUGAGACACGGCCCAGACGCCUACGGAGGCAUCAGUGGGGAAUAGUGCACAAUGGGCGCAAGCCUGAUGCAGCCAUGCCGCGUGUAUGAAGAAGGCCUUAGGGUUGUAAAGUACUUUCAGCUGGGAGGCGUUACCCGCAGAAGAAGCACCGGCUAACUCCGUGCCAGCAGCCGCGGUAAUAC
rnacentral:rRNA from 1 species